AUAAUGAUGAUUAUUUCAAUUUUAUCUUAUCUACAUUAUUUGAAUAUUCUAAAACAAUUAUGUAACAAAUUAUAAUAUAAUCUGAAUU